rnacentral:rRNA from 1 species
UACGAACCGUCCAAACGUUACUCGGAAUCACUGGGCUUAAAGGGUGCGUAGGCCGCGCGGAGGGUGGGAUGUGAAAUCCCCCGGCUCAACCGGGGAAUAGCGUCCCAAACCGCCGUGCUCGAGGGAGACAGAGGUGAGCGGAACUGAUGGUGGAGCGGUGAAAUGCGUUGAUAUCAUCAGGAACACCAGUGGCGAAGGCGGCUCACUGGGUCUUUCCUAACGCUGAUGCACGAAAGCUAGGGGAGCGAACGGG